UCAUCAGUCGCUAUAGGCACCAUAGAUGUGGUUCAGUAGUGGCCUACUAUGUUGUAAAACUGAAAUUUAAAAGCAUCAUGGUCUAAUAUGUUGUGAAACUGAAUAAAACGUUACAUUUUGAGCACAAACAAAAAGGCUUCUUUAGGUUCAGUCAAUAAAACUACAUCUUAUUUUGGUAUAGGCAACACAACUACAACUUCUUUAGGUUUAGGCAAUAAAACUACAACUUCUUUAGGUUUAGGCUAA